UACGAAGGGGGCUAGCGUUGCUCGGAAUCACUGGGCGUAAAGGGUGCGUAGGCGGGUUUUUAAGUCAGGGGUGAAAUCCUGGAGCUCAACUCCAGAACUGCCUUUGAUACUGAAGAUCUUGAGUCCGGGAGAGGUGAGUGGAACUGCGAGUGUAGAGGUGAAAUUCGUAGAUAUUCGCAAGAACACCAGUGGCGAAGGCGGCUCACUGGCCCAUAACUGACGCUGAGGCACGAAAGCGUGGGGAGCAAACAGG
rnacentral:rRNA from 1 species